GUGAAUCAUCAAAUUUUUGAACGCAAAUUGCACUCUCUUCGGUGAGUGUGCGUGUGUGAGGGUCAGCCUAAAAAAAAAUCGAAAUAGUCGCUGUUUUGCGGUGACAUUCGUCGGAAAUUGGGUGAUCUUAAACAUUUGGGUUUUAGGCGGCGUAAAAUUUUCUUUACGAUUAUACGAACGUUUCUAAGAUUUACUUACACGUUUAAGGUAGCGAUUUUUAUUAGACGUGGCUGUUGCAUGGGAUGUCAUGGAUAAAUAUUUCGUUAA
rnacentral:misc_RNA from 1 species